rnacentral:rRNA from 1 species
ACGAACGCUGGCGGCGUGCUUAACACAUGCAAGUCGCACGGAAAGGCCCUGCUUUUGUGGGGUGCUCGAGUGGCGAACGGGUGAGUAACACGUGAGUAACCUGCCCUUGACUUUGGGAUAACUUCAGGAAACUGGGGCUAAUACCGGAUAGGAGCUCCCGCUGCAUGGUGGGGGUUGGAAAGUUUCGGCGGUUGGGGAUGGACUCGCGGCUUAUCAGCUUGUUGGUGGGGUAGUGGCUUACCAAGGCUUUGACGGGUAGCCGGCCUGAGAGGGUGACCGGCCACAUUGGGACUGAGAUACGGCCCAGACUCCUACGGGAGGCAGCAGUGGGGAAUAUUGCACAAUGGGCGGAAGCCUGAUGCAGCAACGCCGCGUGCGGGAUGACGGCCUUCGGGUUGUAAACCGCUUUCGCCUGUGACGAAGCGUGAGUGACGGUAAUGGGUAAAGAAGCACCGGCUAACUACGUG